CCUCCUUCAUUUUCGAUUCUGCAAAUACAUAUUUUUAUAAGAAUGUUUGUAUCAAAAAUGUUCAGGUUGUUUAUCAGAACAUCAGUAAGUUCGAUAACUGAAAUUCAUCAAAACUCAAGAUCUUCAAAUUAGAACCUAUAUUUUUUAUUUUUUCAGUCGAUCUACGUACAAAAAGGGGGUGGGUUACUUUAGCAAACCCUAUAUCUAAAAUGAAUAAUAGUUAUCGAGGAAAAAAUUCAAUUUCUAAUUGUGUGGAUAAUUCUAUGACUUCAGAAAAAAACGCAGAAUGAAACUAAAAUUUGAUGUUUGGAUAACUAAAUUUGACAUUUCAAGAAUUAUACUAAAUUAUUCGUUAAUGAAAAUUUUAUUGGCUUAUGGAUCUCUCAUCAUAUAACCUAUCUGAUGAUGCAAUAAUAUACCUAUGGGCCAUUUGAAAUAAGGAAGAUGUAGUCUGUUUCCGGUAUAACCGGAUGUUGUAGAGGUCUGAAAAUAUUUAACAGAGAAAGAUCAUUGUUUGAAGCCCCAAAAUGCAAAUUUUCAACACAAAAUUAUUAUUAAUUCUUCAUGAACUUCUAAUAGGCCAUCGCGGUGAAUCACCUUGUAUAUAUGCAAAAUCCCAAAGAGAUCGGACUUGUCUUCACGACAAUAUUCGAGAGUUAUCGUAUAAGGCCAGCUGGAAAUAAUAGAACAAGAGAUAGGAUUCGUCAUCAGUAAUUCAACUCCAUGUAAUAUGAUUUUCCUGCAGAAAUAAGAUAUGUCAUUACAUAUCCUGCUAUUUUUGGCAUCGAAGUCGUCUCAGACCACAAACAGAGCUCCAUGAAAGUCAAGACCUGAAAUUAUUUUUUUUCAGAUUAUUAAAGAAAUUCGACUUCUAUAGUUUUAUUGAACAAGGCUCUGUAUAUUUUGAUGUAAAAUAUUAAAAGAAUUAUUAUAUGUUGAUAUUG